CGACGUUUCGGUUACUUUGCAGCAACCGUGAUCACGGUAGUAGUUUUUAAAUAAUAAAAUCCGCGUAGUAAAUCCGAAUAAUACUAGUUUCAUUUAAAUGAAUACUCGCGAAAAUCUUAGAUCUCAUCAAAUACAUGAUAGUUUUCUAAUGAAUCGGAAGAUCCUAAUGCUCUUGGUUAGUCCAAUGUCAAUGUAUUAGAACAUUAACGUCCUUUAAAUAGUGUGAGAUGUGAUUGCUGAAUAUCAUUAGGCGUGCUAUCAAGUGCCGAGUAUAUUGUAUUAUAAUAACUAAAUAUGAAGUUCUCAUUAGUGUGCGUGUUGUUGAUGUCUGUGUUUAUGUUGUUUAUUACACAGAGCUCUGCCAACCCUAGAGUUAACUUCGGAGCUAUUAAGAAAGGCCUCGGUAUUCUGAGCGCGGCGGGAACGGCUGAGAACAUAUACGAGGAGUGGAAACACAGACACGGAUAAAGAAACACAAAAUUGUUAGAUUGAAAAUUCCACUAAUAUGAUUUUAAUAAAGAAUUUCUUUGGCUA